GAACUGUGGGGACACGUAAGGAAAGCGGAAGCCGGGAAUGGAAAGCCCGGUGCAAGCGGGGUACCAGUCACUUUGGCAAAUCCGGGUGGCAAUGGGAAGCCGUGAUGCGGAGUGAAAUAAAGUAACGAAGUCCGUGAGCCAUGCGUCAAGAAAAGCCGCUAUCGUUUAUACCGUACCCGUACCGUAAACCGACACAGGUGGAUGAGGAGAGAAUCCUAAGGCCGGCGGAAGAAGCAUUGUCAAGGAACUCGGCAAAAUGGCCCCGUAACUUAGGGAUAAGGGGUGCCUGGGAAACCAGGCCGCAGAGAAUAGGCUCAAGCAACUGUUUAGCAAAAACACAGGUCUAUGCGAAACCGAAAGGUGAGGUAUAUGGGCUGACGCCUGCCCGGUGCUGGAAGGUUAAGAGGAGAGGUUAGCGCAAGCGAAGCUUUGAAUUUAAGCCCCAGUAAACGGCGGCCGUAACGAUAACGGUCCUAAGGUAGCGAAAUUCCUUGUCGGGUAAGUUCCGACCCGCACGAAAGGCGUAAUGAUUUGAGCGCUGUCUCGACAAUGCAUCCGGUGAAAUUGAAGUACCAGUGAAGAUGCUAGUUACCUGCGCCAGGACGGAAAGACCCCAUGGAGCUUUACUCCAGUUUGGUACUGGGACUCGGUAUUGCAUGUACAGGAUAGGUGGGAGGCUAGGAGACAGUAACGCCAGUUAUUGUGGAGCCGCUGUUGGGAUACCACCCUUGCAGUAUUGGGUUUCUAACCAGCCGCCGUGACCCGGCGGUGGGACAAUGCCAGACGGGGAGUUUGACUGGGGCGGUCGCCUCCGAAAGGGUAUCGGAGGCGCCCAAAGGUUCCCUCAGAAUGGACGGAAACCAUUCGAAGAGUGCAAAGGCAGAAGGGAGCUUGACUGCGACACCGACGGGUGGAGCAGGUACGAAAGUAGGGCUUAGUGAUCCGGUGGUAUUAAGUGGGAAUGCCAUCGCUCAACGGAUAAAAGCUACCCUGGGAUAACAGGCUUAUCACUCCCAAGAGUUCACAUCGACGGAGUGGUUUGGCACCUCGAUGUCGGCUCAUCGCAUCCUGGGGCUGUAGUAGGUCCCAAGGGUUGGGCUGUUCGCCCAUUAAAGCGGUACGCGAGCUGGGUUCAGAACGUCGUGAGACAGUUCGGUCCCUAUCCGGCGUGGGCGUAGGAUAUCUGAGAGGAGCUGUCCUUAGUACGAGAGGACCGGGAUGGACGGGCCGCUGGUGCAUCGGUUAGACUGCCAAGUCUACGGCCGAGUAGCCAAGCCCGGAAGGGAUAAACGCUGAAGGCAUCUAAGCGUGAAGCCCCCCUUAAGAUGAGAUAUCCCAUUCGAAAGAAGUAAACCCCCUUGAAGACGACGAGGUAGAUAGGGCAGAGGUGGAAGUGUGGUAACACAUGGAGCUGACUGUUACUAAUCGGGUGAGGGCUUGA
rnacentral:rRNA from 1 species